GGAAGGGUGGCCGAGUGGUUGAAGGCGCACGCCUGGAAAGUGUGUAUACGGGAAACCGUAUCGUGAGUUCGAAUCUCAUCCCUUCCGCCA
rnacentral:tRNA from 1 species